rnacentral:rRNA from 1 species
CCUACGGGUGGCUGCAGUGGGGAAUAUUGGACAAUGGGCGAAAGCCUGAUCCAGCCAUGCCGCGUGUGUGAAGAAGGCCUUCGGGUUGUAAAGCACUUUCAGUGGGGAAGAAAGCCUUGGGGCUAAUACCCUCGAGGAAGGACAUCACCCACAGAAGAAGCACCGGCUAACUCCGUGCCAGCAGCCGCGGUAAUACGGAGGGUGCGAGCGUUAAUCGGAAUUACUGGGCGUAAAGCGCGCGUAGGCGGUCUGAUAAGCCGGUUGUGAAAGCCCCGGGCUCAACCUGGGAACGGCAUCCGGAACUGUCAGGCUAGAGUGCAGGAGAGGAAGGUAGAAUUCCCGGUGUAGCGGUGAAAUGCGUAGAGAUCGGGAGGAAUACCAGUGGCGAAGGCGGCCUUCUGGACUGACACUGACGCUGAGGUGCGAAAGCGUGGGUAGCAAACAGGAUUACAUACCCUAGUAGUC